UGUCUCCUCCACCUCCCUUGGUGGAUUUAGCCCCCGUGCCGCGAGGUCCGGGGGCUUUUUUAC
rnacentral:ncRNA from 1 species